rnacentral:rRNA from 1 species
CGGUACGGGUGCGUAACACGUGUGCAACCUGCCUUUAUCUGGGGGAUAGCCUUUCGAAAGGAAGAUUAAUACUCCAUAAUAUAUUGAACGGCAUCGUUUAAUAUUGAAAGCUCCGGCGGAUAGAGAUGGGCACGCGCAAGAUUAGCUAGUUGGUGAGGUAACGGCUCACCAAGGCGAUGAUCUUUAGGGGGCCUGAGAGGGUGAUCCCCCGCACUGGUACUGAGACACGGACCAG